AUUGAACGCUGGCGGCAGGCCUAACACAUGCAAGUCGCACGAGUGGCGGACGGGUGAGUAAUGUCUGGGAAACUGCCUGAUGGAGGGGGAUAACUACUGGAAACGGUAGCUAAUACCGCAUACCAUCGGAUGUGCCCAGAUGGGAUGAGCUAGUAGGUGGGGUAAAGGCUCACCUAGGUGACGAUCCCUAGCUGGUCUUAGAGGAUGACCAGCCACACUGGAACUGAGACACGGUCCAGACUCCUACGGGAGGCAGCAGUGGGGAAUAUUGCACAAUGGGCGCAAGCCUGAUGCAGCCAUGCCGCGUGUAUUAAGAAGUCCUUCGGGUUGUAAAGUACUUUCAGCGGGGAGGCUUUACCCGCAGAAGAAGCACCGGCUAACUCCGUGCCAGCCGCCGCGGUAAUAC
rnacentral:rRNA from 1 species